rnacentral:rRNA from 2 species
ACGGAAGGCAGCAGUGAGGGAUAUUGCACAAUGGGCGAAAGCCUGAUGCAGCAACGCCGCGUGAGGGAUGACGGUUUUCGGAUUGUAAACCUCUGUCUUUGGUGAUGAUAAUGACAUUAGCCGAGGAGGAAGCCACGGCUAACUACGUGCCAGCAGCCGCGGUAAUACGUAGGUGGCGAGCGUUGUCCGGAAUUACUGGGUGUAAAGGGAGCGCAGGCGGGAAAGCAAGUCAGCGGUGAAAUGUAUGGGCUUAACCCAUGAACUGCCGUUGAAACUGUUUUUCUUGAGUGGAGUAGAGGUAGGCGGAAUUCCGAGUGUAGCGGUGAAAUGCGUAGAUAUUCGGAGGAACACCAGUGGCGAAGGCGGCUUACUGGGCUCUAACUGACGCUGAGGCUCGAAAGUGUGGGGAGCAAACAGGAUUAGAUACCCUGGUA